rnacentral:snoRNA from 1 species
UUGGCCCUGGAUCCAGGCCGGCAGCUGGAUGGAGCUGUUGGGUUUCAAGCUGGAACCUAAAGAAAUGUCUUCCUCUGGUCAGUCGGCCCCUUCAGAACUUUGGAAAGUUAUGGUCAGUUCAUUAGAAAGAAGCAUCA